rnacentral:lncRNA from 1 species
UCCAUUUCCAGAAAUCCAGACCGAAGGAGACGUCAUUUUAGGCAUUUUAUUCAAUUCUCUAUUGAUUAUCAGUAUCUAAUAUUUAGGGUUCUUGGUUGUUGAAAGAGAACGAAUUUGAUUGGUUGAAAGAUAUUAUAUAAAAAAAAAGGAAUGAUACAUGUUGGUACCCUUUCAUCUUCUAAACAACUUUUCCUCAGUGUUGUACUAAUCAUCAUCAAGGCAACUUCUCCUUACUGUUCUCCCACGUGCAUCAUCAUUAUACUGAAGAAAACGUGUCUUUUUUCAUGGGUUUCUAACAACGGAGUUUCUCCUGCCCAUGUCGUUCUUUAUGGCAAGUUAUCCGCCACUCCAAAAACCUCCCAUCACAUCAACAACUUAAAAUUCUUCAAGAAACACAAGGUUCAAGGAGACGAAGGAUAAUUAAACGGUUCAUCAUUCAAUUUGGACGUAGCAAAGUUAUUUGUGUGUUAUAAUAUCCCUUUAAAUGUUCUGGAUCAUGCCAAUUUCUCCAAGUUUAUUGAAAAAUAUACUGGAAAAACUUCUCCAGGUAGAUGGGUCGUUAACAACUUGGUUGUGUAAGUAUGCCAAGGAGUUUUGAAUAGAAUAAAAGAAGAUGUGGAAGAAAAUAAUAUUUUUGUUGCGCUAGAUGAGACAAGAGAUUAUCAAGGGAGGUCCAUUGACGGCAAUUUUGAUUGGCCCUUUGGAAGGACAUUUCUGUGCCAGACUUUACCUUAUUGACAUGAUUGAUAUUCAGAUUGCAAACGCAAAGAAUGUAAAUAAUAUUAUUGUUGAUCAUAAAAUGGAAUGAAUGUUUUGUUAACAUUUAAUUGUUAACUAGAUUUCGUGCCAAAGUUAUCAAUUCAUCCUUUGGUGGUCACUAAGAAGUUAUAAGUACACUUCCUGUAAUGAUGGGGUUGAUUUUCUCUAACUAACGAUAUAUUUUGUCUUGCAUAAAUUUACAGAAUAUAAUAUACCAUUUAUAAAAUUAUUUAAGGGGCAUUAAUAUAAUAAUACUAUACAACAAUCCCUCUUUCUUCAUGUGUAAACAAAUAAAUAUUUUAAGAUAAA